rnacentral:lncRNA from 1 species
CAACGACCCAUCGCCGUCAAAGUAGGCCUCCACUCUGGCCCUCGUCCGUGUCCUCCGGCAGCUUGACGUGUCGGACGAACCUGUGCUCCCAUCACUUGCCAGCGUGCCGGUGAACCGUCGUCCACACCUGGCAGUCAUGGCCGUCGAGCGCCGCUGCCUACCUGAGCCCGCUCACGUCCAGCAUCCGGGCAUACUCGCUGAUCACUACAUGUCGAGCUCCCUUCCACCGAACUAGCGUAGUGCUCUCUUUGCAAGUGUUUUGCAAAUGUGCUUAGCUUUUCUUGGUUACCGUCAGAACCAAACUAGCUUAGCUUUCUCGAUAACAGUCAGAACAAAACUUGCCUAUGAAGUUGCAAUUGUGUUUUGCUUUUCUUGAUUCCUGCCAUCGUCUGUACAAACUUUUUUUUCUCUUUUUUUAUUUCCCUUUCAUUCUUGAAUAGGUGUAAUUAACUUUUCAGAAUGGAAUCAAAAUCUUAAAUGGGAUUAAAUCUGGUACUCGUACAACUUUCACUAAAUGGGAGAAUAAACAGGAGAGCUCACCCUUGAGACGUCCUUGCUUCGGCCACGCCAUGAGCGCUACUCACAUCGUUUAAUUACCGUGCAGCUGGGCGGGUUGUGGUCCACAUCACAGACCGUCACAUGCUCAUAUCCGAGUUGGAAUCACCAACCCUUCAAGUUCAAUCUAUGGCCGAUUCGCCGUCCAUAAUAACACCGGCCGGCCGUGUCUGUCACUCACUCACGCUCCCCUUUUCCUUUGCCGACUUCCCUUUUCGCGAAGGACAUCGUUUUCCUCGCUCUCGAGCCCUCAUCAGGUCACCGGCUAAAACUACACUUCUGGUUAUCCUGUUUCUAGUACUCCUACUUAACUUAUUAAUAUAAAUGCUCUCUCCUAAAAUGCAGAAUAUGUGACAUAGUGUUGAUAAACAUGGCCGCUUAAUCAAU